GUGCUCACCUUGGGAGCACAUAUGCCAAAAUUAGAAUCAUACAGAGAUUAGCAUGUCCUCUGCAAAGAUGAGGUAAAUUUGUGAUACAUUUCAUAUUUUC
rnacentral:snRNA from 1 species